CGCCCGCUCAGAAACUUAAAGGAAUUGACGGGGACCCGCACAAGCGGUGGAUGAUGUGGUUUAAUUCGAUGCAACGCGAAAAACCUUACCCACCUUUGACAUGUACGGAAUCCUUUAGAGAUAGAGGAGUGCUCGAAAGAGAGCCGUAACACAGGUGCUGCAUGGCUGUCGUCAGCUCGUGUCGUGAGAUGUUGGGUUAAGUCCCGCAACGAGCGCAACCCUUGUCAUUAGUUGCUACAUUCAGUUGGGCACUCUAAUGAGACUGCCGGUGACAAGCCGGAGGAAGGUGGGGAUGACGUCAAGUCCUCAUGGCCCUUAUAGGUGGGGCUACACACGUCAUACAAUGGCUGGUACAAAGGGUUGCCAACCCGCGAGGGGGAGCUAAUCCCACAAAGCCAGUCGUAGUCCGGAUCGUAGUCUGCAACUCGACUACGUGAAGUCGGAAUCGCUAGUAAUCGUGGAUCAGAAUGUCACGGUGAAUACGUUCCCGGGUCUU
rnacentral:rRNA from 1 species